AGGUGUACGCCACCCAGUGGCCAGUUUCAGAUCUGGACAGUGGUCUAUUCCAUACCCAGUACCCAAGUACAUGGCACCCAUGUGAACAAGUCUGGGUUCACCUGCUGGAGCAUGGCAGAGCUUGGCCGACCCAGCUGAGACCAUCGUGAGCUAACCAGCACCCAGGCGACUUGACUUGGCAGCUGACCUUCAUCUGAUAAGUGAACCUAACUAAGACCAGAAGAACCAGCCUGCUGAUCCCAGUCCAAACUUCAGAACUGUAUCAAGAUCAGAAAGAACAACAUUCAUCAAGUCACCUACAAACCUGAUGUAGAUUGUAAGAUCCUAGACUUCCAGCCUGAUGACAUAACAGCAAGAGACUUUUAGGGGUUCUGAAAUGGAGGUAAGCGUAUUUUGCCUGUGGAAGGAAUGUGAACAAUUACAGUCACAGAGUAUAUACUGUGAU
ensembl:lncRNA